CCAGCAACCAGGAUGAUGUCUACUCAAACUCCGGAAAGAGGCAUCCAAGUUAGUUUUAUGCUCAGAACAAGAACUGCAGCCACUCAAACCCCAGCGCAGAUCAUGACAUAUUCAUCCCUGCUGCCUCCUAGCUAUGAUGCCGCUUGUUUCCUAGAUUAAAGAGAAGCAUGGCAACAAAUAUGGGAUUACUGAAGAUUUACGUUAUAUAAGCAGCCAUUGUUUAAAUGUUAGUUGCCUGAAUACCAUCUUUCCUGUCUACUCACAUUGCCUGCUUCCUUUCUGCAAAUGGAACAGAGAAAACCAACUUUUCACAUGCAUGUUUUGCUCUACAAACCUUUCCUCUUGACAAGCUGAGCACUACUGGGAGAGUUAAUGCAGUAUCUUCCCACCCCCUCCCCUUUUUCCCCCCCAUACCUCGGCCAGCUUGCAUGUGCUUAGAGGGAGGUUUCCAAGGCAGUAAUGCUGCCAUCCUCUGCCUCUCUUGCAUUUCCCAAGCCCAUUCUCUUCACAGCUUUGCUUCAGCCGCCAUUUUAUCCAUUUUAUUUUGAGAAAUAAAACAUGUAGC